GAAUGCUCAGUAAUCUCUCUGAUCAGUAUCUGCAGUUUCUGUCAUUCAUGUUUUUGUGUUUUUCAGUUUCAGAGCAGAAGAAACAUGUUCUCCUCCAGAGUUUUAGUGAUUCUGCACCUGCUGCUUUUGGCUUCGGCCCGCUGGGAAACCGGCCCAUUAGAGUUCAGUUACAUACAAACAUGCUGGACGUUUCCCGCCAUUAGCGGCCAGUAUCCAUUACCUCCUCAAGUCUCCGUCUGAACGCACUGAACUGCCUCGUCCCAACAUGAAUACUGCGAUUUUGGUCGAAUGUGCAGCGCCAGCGAGAACUCGGUAACGUGACGAGGUCAAAGAGACGUUCAUCUGUCCUCGGUGAACCAGUGAACAGAAGAAAGAGAAGCGUCAGGAAGUCCAACUUCACCCACACUGGCUGAAGGGAAAAUGGACUAAAAAUGAUGUCAUCUUGCACUCAGGGGAGUAUACUACUUUUUUAUGUAUGUAUGUAUGUAUUUGCUUGUUUGCUUGCUUUAUUUAUUCACAUCCAUGCUUCUUGGUAUGCCUGUUUAUUUGUUUAUUUAUUGAAUUACUUGCUUAUGUAUUUAUUUAUUUGCUUGCUUAUUUAUUU